AUGUGGACAGGAGCCACCGAGUUCAUCCAUUGUGGUGAUGACUCUAUUUUUGGUGAUCCUGCGAGGAGCAAGGAGUUGGACUGUAUGAACCUUUUGCUCCCUCCCGACUCAGGAUAUUCUGUGAUUCUCCAUACCUGCUUCCCCAAACUGAGAAGGAAGAAGACCCUCUCCAGUACCGUCACUUGUUUGGUAAGGACCAGGGUCAGUGUAACAACACAUUUCUGGAUGAGAGUGAUACAAACUAUUGCAAUAACCCUGCACAAAGAUUCACUCUUGCCACUGCAAAAACCCGACAGAAAUGCCCAAGAUGAUUUCUCAACAAGUCUAUUGGUACAGCUAUAUCAAGGGAAUAAAACCAUGGCUGGAGAUAGUUCCCAUGUUCUCAUUGUCAUUAUGGCAAAGUUAGUGCUGCCAUUUCCUUCAUCUUCAGAAAAAAUGUGUUUUGCCGGAUCUCAGUAGAACUGAAAAUAGUGGUUGGAAUUUUUCCUCUGUUAAUAUGUUAUUAUUUGGGGAUUUGGAGAGGAAAUGAAAAAGUGCAGAGGGAUUUAUCAAGGAAGGUAACAAUGAAUUAACUCCUUAAUUUAGUUCUUUUGUGGAAAAAAGCCUCAUGUAGUUCUUGGCUACAGAAAAAAUCUCCAUGGAGUAUAAUAGCAAUACUAGUUCUGUGUUUAACACUGAAAUCAUUUUUAUUCAAGUUUGCUUUGUCCAGCAGUUCAGGAUUCAAGAAGACUGCUGGUAGGCAAAAAAAUGUUGAGAGAAGAACCAGAAAAAUCAUUGAUUCAUAAAGCAUAGGAUGAGUGAUGCAAGGUGGUUCUUCUGUUUGGUUUGUCAAACAGGAAAUUGUGUUGACUGAGGUCCAAACAUAUCUGCAGUGAGACAGGAGCUUAAUGACAUGACAUGAUCCAGUUGUUGGUGUUGAGACUGAACAAAGUCAGAACAGAACUGAGUCGUACAAUAUUCUGUAAAUAAUGGGUAGAUAACUUCUGGGACUGUUCGAUGGGAAUUUUAGUGGGUUUUCCAUCUCAAGAAGUUUCAAGUUUCAAGAGAGGUCUUUUAUAAAGAUAUGCUCUAACUGAGCUGCAAAGUAGUUCAGGGAAUCUCAGGGACCUCUAUGACUAAACAGAUCAGCUUCAGGUGACCUAGCCUUACCUCUGGUAGGGACCAAGAUGGUUUUGCUUCUUCCUUCAGCUCUACUGUGGGCUUAUUUCUUGCUUCCAUUUUUUGCUUAUUAAUGCUAACAGUUGUAGCAUCAAUGCACUGCAGCAGCUUUAUGUAAAGGCGUAAUUUCCUAAAUGGUACAGCCUUGAAAGAAAUGCAAUCUGCUGAAAACCUGUCCUAAACAGAACAACAGUAAAGAACAACCAGUUACACAUGGAAUUUUAAUACGUGUCUUUCUUGCUUAUUCCCAUUUCUGAGCAAUAAUCUUAUGAACUAGCAGUUCAUCUAUGUUACUAUAUAAGCUUGCAGCCAUUCACAGAAGGUGGAAUACUGUUUUGGAUUAACAAUCCUAGUACCAACUGCUUUAUUCCUUGAUUAAUUUGAAUGCACCAAGGAUGUGUUCAUAUAGACUCUUGAUCUUUUGUUUCUCCUUAGCUCACAGCUUGUGUUUGGGCUCCUGUAAAGUGAUAUACGGUCCUAAAGAAAAAUAGAGAAAAGUAAUCAGCAACAUUAUCUUAUCAAUAUUUACAGCAAACCAAUUCCCACUUUGCACAGAGAAAACUUAAAUUCUGUCUUUGCCUGGCUGAAAACUUCCUUUCUGCAAGUAGCAAAAAAAAAUAAAAUUUCAAAGAUCCCUUACA
rnacentral:lncRNA from 1 species